GAUGAAGAACGUAGCGAAAUGCGAUAAGUAAUGUGAAUUGCAGAAUUCAGUGAAUCAUCGAAUCUUUGAACGCACAUUGCGCCCGCCAGUAUUCUGGCGGGCAUGCCUGUUCGAGCGUCAUUUCAACCAUCAAGCCCCCCGGCUUGUGUUGGGGACCUGCGGCUGCCGCAGGCCCUGAAAAGCAGUGGCGGGCUCGCUGUCACACCGAGCGUAGUAGAUCUCAUCUCGCUCAGGGCGUGCUGCGGGUUCCGGCCGUUAAACCACCUUCAUAACCCAAGGUUGACCUCGGAGCAGGUAGGAAGACCCGCUGAACUUAAGCAUAUCAAUAAGCGGAGGA
rnacentral:misc_RNA from 1 species